AAAGGUAUAGCUCAGUGGUAGAGUGCUUGCUUAGCAGACACGAGGUCCUGGGUUCAAUCCCCAGCACCUCCA
rnacentral:tRNA from 1 species